AUUACACUUUUCUACGCAUCACGAAGAUUUUCUUGAAUGAAUACAAUAAUAGAGCAAGCACAGCCUUGAGUUAUAAUAAUUACUAACAUGUUGUAAAUCCGAUAAUAAAUGCUCAGCUGCACCGUACGGGGUCAACUUGGAACUUUCAAGCAGCAGAAUUGAACAUGGAUACAUGAGACCUCAGGGUUGGCUCGGCUGGUGUUGGGGUUGCCUAGUUAGGUCCUGACGACACUG
rnacentral:lncRNA from 1 species